CAGGAGUUGUCGUCAUUGCAUCUGAUGGAUAUUGGUCACCUCGCACCAACAAUGGGAAGGAAAAGAUUGAAGACAAUUGCCGAACAACAUAUCCAAAUGUCUGACACUAUCGCUGGCUCUUGUCGAAAGCGGCCAGUUGCACCAUUCAUUUGUUACAGUCCCGGAUGUACGAAAGCUGUCUUAUGCCGAUUUCGGGGCCAGCUUGACAUAAAAACUUGCAUAUAUAUAUAUAUAU